GUGGCGCACGGCUGAGUAACACGUGGGAACCCGCCCCCCGGUGGGGGAUAACGCGACGAAAGUUGCGCUAAUCCCGCAUACGUCCUUCGGGGGAAAGCGCAGUGCGCGCCGGGGGAGGGGCCUGCGGCCAUCAGGUCGUUGGUGGGGUAAGGGCCUACCAAGCCGAUGACGGGUAGCUGGUCUGGGAGGAUGACCAGCCAGACUGGGACUGAGACACGGCCCAGACUCCUACGGGAGGCAGCAGCAAGGAAUUUUCGGCAAUGGGCGCAAGCUGGACCGAGCAACGCCGCGUGCGGGAUGACGGCCUUCGGGUUGUAAACCGCUUUUCGGGGGGACGACCCUGACGGUACCCCCGGAACAAGCCCCGGCUAACUCUGUGCCAGCAGCCGCGGUAAGACAGAGGGGGCGAGCGUUGUCCGGAGUCACUGGGCGUAAAGCGCGCGCAGGCGGCAACCUUAGUGUCGUGUAAAAGCCCCCGGCUCAAACCGGGGGAGGCCAUGGCAAACUGGGUCGCUCGAGCUGCGGAGAGGCCCCUCGAAUUGCCGGUGUAGCGGUAAAAUGCGUAGAGAUCGGCAGGAAGACAAAGGGGGAAGCCAGGGGGCUGGCCGCAGGCUGACGCUGAGGCGCGACAGCGUGGGGAGCAAACCGGAUAAGAUACCCGGGUAGUCCACGCCGUAAACGAUGACCACUCGGCGUGCGGCGACUAUUGACGUCGCGGCGCGCCCUAGCUCACGCGAUAAGUGGUCCGCCUGGGAACUACGAGCGCAAGCUUAAAACUAAAAGGAAUUGACGGGGGCCCGCACAAGCAGCGGAGCGUGUGGUUUAAUUCGACGCAACCCGCAGAACCUUACCCAGACUAGACAUGACGGUGCAGACGGCGGAAACGUCGUCGCCUCCGAGGGCCCGUCAAGGGCG
rnacentral:rRNA from 1 species